GAUGAACGCUGGCGGCGUGCUUAACACAUGCAAGUCGAACGGAAAGGCCCAAGCUUGCUUGGGUACUCGAGUGGCGAACGGGUGAGUAACACGUGGGUGAUCUGCCCUGCACUUCGGGAUAAGCCUGGGAAACUGGGUCUAAUACCGGAUAGGACCACUUCUUGGAUGUUGUGGUGGAAAGUUUUUUCGGUGUGGGAUGAGCUCGCGGCCUAUCAGCUUGUUGGUGGGGUAAUGGCCUACCAAGGCGUCGACGGGUAGCCGGCCUGAGAGGGUGUACGGCCACAUUGGGACUGAGAUACGGCCCAGACUCCUACGGGAGGCAGCAGUGGGGAAUAUUGCACAAUGGGCGCAAGCCUGAUGCAGCGACGCCGCGUGGGGGAGGACGGCCUUCGGGUUGUAAACGCCUUUCGCUAGGGACGAAGCGUUUUGUGACGGUACCUGGAGAAGAAGCACCGGCUAACUACGUG
rnacentral:rRNA from 1 species